UACGUAGGGUGCAAGCGUUGUCCGGAAUUAUUGGGCGUAAAGAGCUCGUAGGCGGUCUGUCGCGUCUGCUGUGAAAAUCCAGGGCUCAACCCUGGACCUGCAGUGGGUACGGGCAGACUAGAGUGCGGUAGGGGAGAUCGGAAUUCCUGGUGUAGCGGUGAAAUGCGCAGAUAUCAGGAGGAACACCGGUGGCGAAGGCGGCUCUCUGGGCCCUACCUGACGCUGAGACGCGAAAGCGUGGGGAGCGAACCGG
rnacentral:rRNA from 1 species